AGUGAACGCUGGCGGUAGGCCUAACACAUGCAAGUCGAACGGCAGCACAGUGAGAGCUUGCUCUUACGGGUGGCGAGUGGCGGACGGGUGAGGAAUACAUCGGAAUCUACUUUUUCGUGGGGGAUAACGUAGGGAAACUUACGCUAAUACCGCAUACGACCUACGGGUGAAAGCAGGGGAUCUUCGGACCUUGCGCGAUUGAAUGAGCCGAUGUCGGAUUAGCUAGUUGGCGGGGUAAAGGCCCACCAAGGCGACGAUCCGUAGCUGGUCUGAGAGGAUGAUCAGCCACACUGGAACUGAGACACGGUCCAGACUCCUACGGGAGGCAGCAGUGGGGAAUAUUGGACAAAGGGCGCAAGCCUGAUCCAGCCAUACCGCGUGGGUGAAGAAGGCCUUCGGGUUGUAAAGCCCUUUUGUUGGGAAAGAAAAGCAGCAGGUUAAUACCCCGCUGCUCUGACGGUACCCAAAGAAUAAGCACCGGCUAACUUCGUG
rnacentral:rRNA from 1 species